CUCAAAGUAGCUUGGAUAGCUUUGUAAUCGCUGGAAGCAUUAAGGGGACACCGGUAGUAAAUUUGAAGGAGCCAGUUAAGCUCGUUUUCACAAGUAUUUCUCAGAAAACUGGAAAUAAAAACAGUGCUUUGUGUUCCUUUUGGGACUUUAGUCUGGAAAAUUGGUCACAAGAAGGUUGUUGGCUUGAACGAGUUUUAGAUAAUGGAAGAGUUCUUUGCAACUGUAAUCAUAUGACCAACUUUGCAAUGCUAAUGGACAUGACGGCAACCACGAAUACCCCGACACACCAUAAGAUACUUGGUGUAGUCAGUUACGUUGGGUGCGCUCUAUCAUUGGUUGGACUAUUUAUGACGAUAAUCGCGACACUAAGAGCAAGAGAGCGCAGGAAAAAGGUCCCAAACAAGAUUUUGUUGAACUUCUGCAUCGCCUUGACACUAAUGAUAUUCGUAUUUAUGGUUGCGGCGGAGAAGGCCAAAUCCACGUUGUACAGCUGUCGGGCAGCGGCAAUUGCCUUGCAUUACUUCUUGUUAGCAACAUUCUUGUGGAUGGGGGUAGAAGCGUUGAAUAUGUAUCUGGCAUUUGUGAAAAUAUUCCCUUCUUCUUCCCAAUCCAAGUUCAUGCUAAGAUACUGUCUAUUUGC